CAGCCGCCGCGGUAAUACGUAGGAGGCGAGCGUUAUCCGGAUUUAUUGGGCGUAAAGCGCGUGCAGGUGGUUUGGCAAGUUGGGUAUGAAAUCUUCUGGCUUAACUAGGAGAGGUUGCUCAAAACUGCCAGACUAGAGGACGAUAGAGGAAGGUGGAAUUCCCGGUGUAGUAGUGAAAUGCGUAGAUAUCGGGAGGAACACCAGUGGCGAAGGCGGCCUUCUGGGUCGUUCCUGACACUAAGACGCGAAAGCAUGGGUAGCAAACGGGAUUAGAAACCCCGGUAGUCCAUGCCGUAAACGAUGUGAACUUGAUGUCGGUGGUGUAAUAAUCAUCGGUGUCGUAGCUAACGCGAUAAGUUCACCGCCUGGGGAGUACGAUCGCAAGGUUAAAACUCAAAGGAAUUGACGGGGACCCGCACAAGCAGCGGAGCGUGUGGUUUAAUUCGAUGCUACACGAAGAACCUUACCUGGACUUGACAUAUAGGUGGUAGGGAUCGAAAGGUGACCGACCCCUCGGGGAGCUUAUACAGGUGCUGCAUGGCUGUCGUCAGCUCGUGCCGUGAGGUGUCCGGUUAAGUCCGGUAACGAGCGCAACCCUUGCGGUAUGUUACAUGUGUCAUGCGGACUCGCGGUACAACACCGGAGGAAGGUGGGGACGACGUCAAGUCAGCAUGGCCUUUAUGUCCAGGGCUACACACACGCUACAAUGGUCGGUACAAUGGGUAGCAAAGUCGCGAGGCGAAGCCAAUCCUCAAACACCGAUCUCAGUUCGGAUUGCAGUCUGCAACUCGACUGCAUGAACGCGGAGUUGCUAGUAAACGCGCGUCAGCAAUAGUGCGUGAAUACGUUCCCGGGUCUUGUACACACCGCCCGUCACGUCAUGGAAGUUGGUAAUACUUGAAGCCGGUAUCUUAACCCUAACGGGAAGGAGCUGGCGAGGGUAGGACCGAUGACUGGGACGAAGUCGUAACAAGGUAACCGUA
rnacentral:rRNA from 1 species